UAAUGGCGGCAGCGGUGUCCUACGGGAGGCAGCAGUGGGGAAUUUUGGACAAUGGGGGCAACCCUGAUCCAGCAAUGCCGCGUGUGUGAAGAAGGCCUUCGGGUUGUAAAGCACUUUUGUCCGGAAAGAAAACUUCGUCCCUAAUAUGGAUGGAGGAUGACGGUACCGGAAGAAUAAGCACCGGCUAACUACGUGCCAGCAGCCGCGGUAAUACGUAGGGUGCGAGCGUUAAUCGGAAUUACUGGGCGUAAAGCGUGCGCAGGCGGUCUGUUAAGACCGAUGUGAAAUCCCCGGGCUUAACCUGGGAACUGCAUUGGUGACUGGCAGGCUUUGAGUGUGGCAGAGGGAGGUAGAAUUCCACGUGUAGCAGUGAAAUGCGUAGAGAUGUGGAGGAAUACCGAUGGCGAAGGCAGCCUCCUGGGCCAACACUGACGCUCAUGCACGAAAGCGUGGGGAGCAAACAGGAUUAGAUACCCAGGUAGCCCACGCCCUAAACGAUGUCAACUAGUUGUUGGGGAUUCAUCUCCUUAGUAGGGGUAGCUUAGGCGG
rnacentral:rRNA from 1 species